AGCAUGUGCACGUCCAACCUUUUCUAUUACACACCCGUGCACCUUUUGUAGGUCCUCGAAAGAGGAUCUAUGUAUUUCAUCAUCACACCUAUCGUAUGUCUAGAAUGUCAUCGUCGACCACUGGGCGGCGAAAUAAAUAAUACAACUUUCAGCAACGGAUCUCUUGGCUCUCGCAUCGAUGAAGAACGCAGCGAAUUGCGAUAAGUAAUGUGAAUUGCAGAUUUUCAGUGAAUCAUCGAAUCUUUGAACGCACCUUGCGCUCCUUGGUAUUCCGAGGAGCAUGCCUGUUUGAGUGUCAUUAAAUUCUCAACCAUGACUUUGUUGACAUGGCUUGGAGUUGGGGGUUGCUGGCUUGUUUGUCAGCUCUCCUGAAAUACAUUAGCGGUGGACAAGCAAGGCCUUCCGACGUGAUAAUGAUCGUCGUGGGGCGGAGCAUCAACGUCUGUCUGCUUCUAAAUCCCAGAUGCCUUAGCUAGACAUCAUUUCGAACGCUUGACCUCAAAUCAGGUAGGACUACCCGCUGAACUUAAGCAU
rnacentral:misc_RNA from 1 species